rnacentral:rRNA from 1 species
CCUACGGGCGGCAGCAGUGGGGAAUAUUGGACAAUGGGGGCAACCCUGAUCCAGCCAUGCCGCGUGUGUGAAGGAGGCCCUCGGGUUGUAAAGCACUUUCAGUGAGGAAGAACGCCUGGUGGUUAAUACCCAUCAGGAAAGACAUCACUCACAGAAGAAGCACCGGCUAACUCCGUGCUAGCAGCCGCGGUAAUACGGAGGGUGCGAGCGUUAAUCGGAAUUACUGGGCGUAAAGCGCGCGUAGGUGGCUUGAUAAGCCGGUUGUGAAAGCCCCGGGCUCAACCUGGGAACGGCAUCCGGAACUGUCAAGCUAGAGUGCAGGAGAGGAAGGUAGAAUUCCCGGUGUAGCGGUGAAAUGCGUAGAGAUCGGGAGGAAUACCAGUGGCGAAGGCGGCCUUCUGGACUGACACUGACACUGAGGUGCGAAAGCGUGGGUAGCAAACAGGAUUAGAUACCCCAGUAGUC